rnacentral:rRNA from 1 species
AACGAACGCUGGCGGCAUGCCUAACACAUGCAAGUCGAACGAACCCUUCGGGGUUAGUGGCGCACGGGUGCGUAACACGUGGGAAUCUGCCCUUUGCUUCGGAAUAACAGUUAGAAAUGACUGCUAAUACCGGAUAAUGUCGCAAGACCAAAGAUUUAUCGGCAAAGGAUGAGUCCGCGUAGGAUUAGCUUGUUGGUGGGGUAAUGGCCCACCAAGGCGACGAUCCUUAGCUGGUCUGAGAGGAUGAUCAGCCACGCUGGGACUGAGACACGGCCCAGAGUCCUACGGGAGGCAGCAGGGGGGAAUAUUGGACAAUGGGCGAAAGCCUGAUCCAGCAAUGCCGCGUGAGUGAUGAAGGCCUUAGGGUUGUAAAGCUCUUUUACCAGGGAUGAUAAUGACAGUACCUGGAGAAUAAGCUCCGGCUAACUCCGUGCCAGCCGCCGCUGUAAAAC